GCGGCGUACACGAGAGUCGGGCUGGGGCUAGGACCAAACGUCCGACCGGCGAGCUAUGCUACGCGGCACGGCGGCGCCGUCGACCAAGGCCUACGCUCGCUUUUCAGUUUUCAACCACCCACUUGAUCCACCACACCCCGCAAUGUUUUGAUCCGAUUAUCUGCCGUCGGCGAGAUUGCCGUUGAUCAUUAAGACAUUAAAUCUAUUGCAGCUACUACACUCAUAUCAUGACCAUUAUCGAGUGUCUGUUAAAACACAGAUAGUGGUCAUUAAACCUAUUGCAGCUACUUCACUUGUAUAAUGAUCAUCUUCGAUUGUUAAAAAAAAAAUAACAGAUGUCAGACAACCAAAAAAAGACUAUUAAAAAGAUAGAGAAAUCAAUAAAAAAGGUGAAAUUCGACUUACAAAAUCUAAAAAACAAUGAAAAACUUUUCAACAUGAACAAGUACCGCAAAAAAAAAAAAAAAAAAAAAAAAGAAGCAGCCAAAAAUAAAUUAAUCGACGAAAAGAUCAGAAAAGGUUUUGAAAACAUUGUUACCUUUAUCCAAUCUCAAUUCCCGACGAAUUCCGAAUAAAAAUUGUUUGUUCACUCUCUUA